rnacentral:lncRNA from 1 species
GAGCUCUGGUCUCACUUCAGUCGUCUUCCUGUUCGGUAGGGAAUCCUUUUCUUCGUUUUUUUCUGCGAUUUUGCUUGAAUUUUGAGAUUGUUGUGUGGUUCUGUACAUCUCUGCGGUUGAUUUGAAUCAUUUGGUGGAGAUGUGGAAAUUGUCUGUUAGAGACUGAGUAACUAAGGAUUUGGACUACAGUAGUAGAGAAUGAGAAGAGAUUUUCGUUUAUUGUGCAUAGAUUUCGUUUGAAUCUGCAGUGAAAUAAUACACUUGUUUAACUAGUUCUCCGGCGAGAUCGAGUUGAUAAUCUGAAAACGGUCGUCAUUUUGUCUGCAGAUACGCAUUGGAUGUGAAUGUG